AAGGAGGAGCUCGCUCUGCUGUUGUAUGCUAUGUGUUGUGAUAUUCCGCGCGGCACUGAACAGUGAUGUAAUAAUUUUUUUUGUAAAAAUGUUAGUGGAAUACAAGAAAAAUCCAUGUUGAUGCUACGAUCUUCAGAGACUGACACCACCCUGUUGCUGUCGGGACUGUAUUUUACAUCCCACACUUGAUCAGCGUGCUCACGGAAGGUGUGCAAGCAUGUGCGGUUAGAGACUUCCCAGAUUUUGACGGUUUUAUCGCUGGAGCUCGAUGUGAAGAAUCUCCCGUCGCCGGAAAAUGCGACUGAGAGCACCCACGAAGCAUGACCCGAGAGCGUACCAACGACAUCGGAAUGUGCAACAUCGUACAGCUUCAUAUGCCCAUCGUCGGAUGCAGUAAGGAGCAUUUGGGAGUCUGGAGAGAAGCACAAACUCCGCACAGACAUGGCAUGUCCUUCAAGGGUUUGAGCCACUUUCCCAGCAGCUACGUCGAAUAUGUUAAUAAUCCCAUCAAUUGCUCCACUUGCAAUGUACUUUCCAUCCGGACUCUGGUGUAGCAUAAAAAAAACAUUAAUUCAAAGAGACAAAAGAUUCUUUCUGUGGAGACUUACAUAUGCUAUGCUGAGAGUGAAUUUUCCAUUUUGUGGAUCAAGAACUUGCUCGGAUUUUCCCGUUUCAACGUUAUAAAGUGAAAUUUUCCCAUCAUGAGAUCCCGAAAUGACAUAUUUAUCGCACGGUGAGAAGGCAACUGUCCACAAAUCUACAGGUCCCAAUGCAGCUUGAUUGAGAAGUUGACCAGUCUCAGAAUUCCAAAAGCACAAGCUUGAGUCUAGAGAACUACUCACAAUAGCUGAAAAAUACAAAACAGAGAAAAAUUAUAGAAUUUUCACAAAAA